rnacentral:rRNA from 1 species
GCUCAGAACGAACGCUGGCGGCAGGCUUAACACAUGCAAGUCGAACGCCCCGCAAGGGGAGUGGCAGACGGGUGAGUAACGCGUGGGAACAUACCCUUUCCUGCGGAAUAGCUCCGGGAAACUGGAAUUAAUACCGCAUACGCCCUACGGGGGAAAGAUUUAUCGGGGAAGGAUUGGCCCGCGUUGGAUUAGCUAGUUGGUGGGGUAAAGGCCUACCAAGGCGACGAUCCAUAGCUGGUCUGAGAGGAUGAUCAGCCACWUUGGGACUGAGACWCGGCCCAAACUCCUACGGGAGGCAGCWGUGGGGAAUAUUGGACWAUGGGCGCAAGCYUGAUCCAGCCAUGCCGCGUGAGUGAUGAAGGCCUUAGGGUUGUAAAGCUCU